UGUUAAAGAUGGUUUCACACAAACAUCACGUCAAGGAGUUGAUGAAUUUACACAAACAUUACGUCAAGGUACAGGUGUUGAUGAUUCGACACAAACAUCA